rnacentral:rRNA from 1 species
GAUGAACGCUGACAGAAUGCUUAACACAUGCAAGUCGAUGGGGAAGUGGUGCUUGCACCAUGGCAACCAUGGCGGACGGGUGAGUAACGCGUAAGGGACUUACCUGCAGGACUGGGAUAACAGGGGGAAACUCCUGACAAGACCGGAUAAUGUCAUGGAGCUGCAUGGCUUUAUGAUGAAAGGAGACGCCUGCGGAGAGCCUUGGGUCCUAUUAGCUAGUUGGUGAGGUAAUGGCUCACCAAGGCGAAGAUAGGUAGCCGGCCUGAGAGGGAGGACGGCCACAAGGGGACAGAGAUACGGCCCUUACUCCUGCGGGAGGCAGCAGGGGGGAAUAGUGGACAAUGGGGGCAACCCUGAUCCAGCAAUUCUGUGUGGAAGAAGAAGGUUUUCGGAGUGUAAAGUGCUUUCAGCAGAGAAGAAGUAAGUGACGGUACCUGCAGAAGAAGCGACGGCUAAAUACGUG